CAGCAGUAGGGAAUCUUCGGCAAUGGACGAAAGUCUGACCGAGCAACGCCGCGUGAGUGAAGAAGGUUUUCGGAUCGUAAAACUCUGUUGGUAGAGAAGAACGUUGGUGAGAGUGGAAAGCUCAUCAAGUGACGGUAACUACCCAGAAAGGGACGGCUAACUACGUGUCAG
rnacentral:rRNA from 1 species